CAAUAGCGUAUAUUAAAGUUGUUGCGGUAAAAAAGCUCGUAGUUGGAUUUCUACCGAAGAUAGCCGGUCGGGUCGUCGACCUUGUAUCUGGUUUUGUCUUUGGUAUCCUCAUAGGGAACGUUUCUGCGCUUUAUUGCGUGGUGCGGUAUCUAUGACUUUUACUUUGAGGAAAUUAGAGUGUUCACGGCAGGCAAACGCCUUGAAUAUAUUAGCAUGGAAUAAUAACAUAGGAUCUUCGUCCUAUUUUGUUGGUUUCUAGGGCUAAGAUAAUGAUUAAUAGGGAUAAUUGGGGGCAUCUGUAUCAACGCGUCAGAGGUGGAAUUCUUGGAUUGCGUUGCGACAAACUACUGCGAAAGCAUUUGCCAAGGAUGUUUUCAUUGA
rnacentral:rRNA from 1 species